AUGAUCAAACAGCAAACUGUUUAUCAUGAACACAGGAUGUGGGCAAACUCACGACUGCUCCCGCUGACAGAAGGUUUGCUGGAGGCAAUCACUCCCCAGCGCUGAGGUUAUCUACUGCGACAUCUAGAGCCUGUUGUUCGAGGAAUGCAGUCUUGCAAGCCUACUCUGGACCUAGCAGCUGACCCCUUCUUCCACCCCGCUUCUCACUGUCUCUUUUGCCAAAUUAAUAUGGAGGGCUAUGUAAAGCUCAGGGCUCUUGUCCACUAGAGGCAAGGUGCCCCCUGACCCCUUCUUCCAAAUAUACUCUUUCGCCUCUCGUCUUUUAUUCCCACGUUCGCCCCCUUGGUUCAUUCCCCCUAGGUCUGUGCAGGCUACAAGUGGCGCUUGAACAGGCGGCAGUCCGAACACAGGGACUACAAAGACAUGAACGAAGAAGGUCUGCUGAAGCAGAGGAGCUGAAAUCGAAAGGUGAACGGUGACCCUGGGACCAGUCUGCCGGCAGCGGAUAUAAGUCAGUGCCCUAAAGAGUCUGUAAAAUCAGAUGGACUGCCAAUUGGAGAAUGAGAGCUGACCAGCCUGGCCUUACGUUCUUUCAUUUAAUUCAUAAACAGAAAGGGGAUAUGCAGGGAGCCGAAGGCCCUUGGGACGUGACCAACUGGGCAUUCCACUGGAGGCUAUAUGAUCAAACAGCAAACUGUUUAUCAUGAACACAGGAUGUUGGCAAACUCGCGACUGCUCCCGCCGACAGAAGGUUUGCUGAAGGCAUUCACUCCCUGGUGCUGAGGUUAUCUACUGCGACAUCUAGAGCCUAUUAUUCCGGGAAUGCAGUCUUGCAAGCCUACUCGGGACUGAGCAGCUGACCCCUUCUUCCACCCCCUCUUGUCACUAUCUCUUUUGCCUAAUAAAUAUGGAGGGCUGUGUAAAGCUCAGGGCCCUUGUCCAUUAGAGGCAAGGUGCCCCUGACCCCUUCUCCAAAUAUA